UACGUAGGGGGCAAGCGUUGUCCGGAAUCAUUGGGCGUAAAGCGCGUGUAGGCGGUUCGGUAAGUCUGCUGUGAAAGUCCAGGGCUCAACCCUGGGAUGCCGGUGGAUACUGUCGGACUAGAGUACGGAAGAGGCGAGUGGAAUUCCCGGUGUAGAGGUGAAAUUCGUAGAUAUCGGGAGGAACACCUGUGGCGAAGGCGGCCAUCUGGACAACUACCGACACUGAGACGCGAAAGCGUGGGUAGCAAACAGG
rnacentral:rRNA from 1 species